GUCCACGCCCUAAACGAUGGACACUAAGUGUCGGCGGGUUACCGCCGGUGCCGCAGCUAACGCAGUAAGUGUCCCGCCUGGGGAGUACGGCCGCAAGGUUGAAACUCAAAGGAAUUGACGGGGGCCCGCACAAGCGGUGGAGCAUGUGGUUCAAUUCGACGCAACGCGAAGAACCUUACCCAGGCUGGACAUGCAGGUAGUAAGAACCUGAAAGGGGGAGUGAGCCAGCAAUGGCAGCCUGCUCAGGUGCUGCAUGGCUGUCGU
rnacentral:rRNA from 1 species